UCUCUCACACAAAACGCACACGAGCUUUCCUCGUACAAACACACGCACGCUUUCUCUCAUACACAACUUUUCUCUCACAAAAAACAAACGCACGCUUUCUCUCACACAAACACACGCACGCUUUCUCUCACACAAACACACCGCACGCUUUCUAUCAUACAACACAUGCACGCUUCCUCUCACACAAAACGAAGCACCUUUCCUCCACAAACACACGCACGCUUUCUCUCACACAAACACACGCACGCUUUCUCUCAUACAAACACACACACGCUUUCCUCAUACAAACACACAACACGCUCCUCUCAUACAACACACGCACACUUUCUCUCAUACAAACACACACAAGCUUUCUCUCAUACACACACUUUCUCUCACACAACACACGCAACGCUUCUAUCAUACAAACACAUGCACCUUUCUCUCACACACAAACAGAAGCACGCUUUCUCUCUCCACACACAAACACACGCACAGCGUUCUCUCACACAACACACGCACGCUUCUCUCAUACAAACACACCCACGCUUUCUCUCAUACAACACACGCACACUUUCUCUCAUACAAACACACGCACACUUUCUCUCACACACAACACUUUCUCUCACACGCACGCUUUCUCUCACAAAACACACGCACGCUUCUCUCACACAAACACACGCACGCUUUCUCAUCCAUCACAAAACAACACACGCUUUCUCUCACACAAACAAACGCACGCUUUCUCUCAUACAAACAACACCACACGCUUUCUCUCAUACAAACACACGCACGCUUUCUCUCAUACAAACACACGCUUUCUCUCAUACAAGACACUUUCUCUCAUACAAACACACGCACGCUUCCUUCAUACAAACACACGCACACUUUCUCUCAUACAACACACACCUUUCUCUCAUAAACAAACACGGUCUCUCAACACACUUUCUCUCAUACAAACACACGCACACUUUCUCUCAACACACACACUACUCUCAUACAAACACACGCACGCUUUCCUCUCAUACAAACACACGCACGCUUUCUCUCAUACAAACACACCACGCUUUCCUCAUACAAACACACGCACGCUUCUCUCAUACAAACACACGCACGCUUUCUCUCUACAAACACACGCACACUUUCUCUCACACAAACACACGCACGCUUCUCUCAUACAAACACACGCACGCUUUCUCUCAUACAAACACGCACACUUCUCUCAUACACACACUUUCUCUCACACAAACCACGCACGCUUUUCUCUACACAACCAACGCACCUUUCUCUCAUACAAACACACGCACACUUUCUCUCACAAACACACGCUUUCUCUCAUACACAAACACACGCACCGCUUUCUCUCACACAACACACGCACGCUUUCUCUCAUACAAACCAAAACGCACGCUUUCUCUCAUCAACACACUUUCUCUCAUACAAAAACAACGCACCACACGCUCUCUCAUACAAACACACGCACGCUCCUCUCAUACACACACACGCUUUCUCUCACACAAACACACACGCACGCUUUCUCUCCCACAACCACGCAACGCGUUCUCUCAUACAACACACGCACGCUUUCUCUCAUACAAACCAACACACGCUUUCUCUCAUACACACACACGCACCUUUCUCUCAUACAAAC
rnacentral:lncRNA from 1 species